UACAGAGGUCCCGAGCGUUGUUCGGAUUCACUGGGCGUAAAGGGUGCGUAGGUGGCGGGGCAAGUCUGGUGUGAAAUCCCGGGGCUCAACCCUGGAACUGCACUGGAUACUGCUUUGCUAGAGUACUGGAGAGGGAACUGGAAUUUACGGUGUAGCAGUGAAAUGCGUAGAUAUCGUAAGGAAGACCAGUGGCGAAGGCGAGUUCCUGGACAGUUACUGACACUGAGGCACGAAGGCCAGGGGGAGCAAACGGG
rnacentral:rRNA from 1 species